CAGGGGAACUCAUUUUGGAGAGAGAAAUGCUGGAAAAGGAUGCUGGUGUAACUAUGAUAAUGUCUUUUUUUUUCCCCCACAUCACCUGAAAAGGAAAAUAUAUACUGCCACAGAACAGUAUGUACUUGAAGUAAGGAUGAUUCCUCAGCAAGACAUUUUAAGUGUGGUUUUAAACCUAUGUCAGAAUUCCUAAGGGCCUCAUGGGUAUGGGUUGUAUCUUCACUGCAUCUGGCAAAAUGGGGGUUAAUGUUGCCCCCAUGUUGCCUGGAGGCAGAAAUAGCUCACUAGUUCUGUACCCACUAACCUUAUUCUUCUGCAUGGGAGUGGACUGAGAGUGAAGCACUUGCUAGACUAGUAUUGCUGCCUAGGUUCUAGACCAGCACAAUAGCUGCAGCUAAUGUUUUUUUCAAAGGUGAAAAAGGUUGUUAAUGGAAAGAAGGAGGAAUAAGUAGAAGCCAAAGGCAAAAGUAUAAAUAAACGGGUUUUGAAUUGAGAGAGAUUCAAUAUUAACACCUCAAAAGAGGCUCAGAGAAGGAGAUGACAUUGUCUCUGACCGCUAUUAUCUCAACUGCCUGAAAGGGUGAAGCUGCCUGUUUGCUGAAACUUCUGCUUUUGGGACUUGAGGCGAUCAUGUGAAAGCCUGGGAACCUGAAUGACCUCAGGAGACACAGUCUUUCAAUAUGAUGAUAAACUAUACUAGUUAUUAGUCACUGAGGGGAUUCUAAUAAUGUGUUAUCUGUUGAAUUGUAUACCCCUUUGAUGAAAGGGAUCUAUUGAAAAACCCAGAGGUGACCUGUGAUAGGAUAGACAUUUUGGGGGUUUUAUCCAUGGUUCCUAGCCCAUAACUUCCUCUGUAAGUCAGGCCAAAGAAACUAGAAUUCCUCUCUCUUGAAAUGAGUCAGAGAAACUCUAGAAGCUAACCAUAAAGAAAUACUCUGACCCCCCCUUUGCCAUGAACAGGCAAUAAGACCCUUCUCAUUCCACAGGGGUCCUGCCCUAUGCCUUAGAAGAAGGAGUACUUCACACAAGAAAGACCAGAAAGAAUCUAAAUAGACAGACUUUGUUGGAUUUCCUCACCAGACUAUUAAAAAAAAAUAAAACAUGCCUAUGUAAUAAAAUUGUCAUCAAACUCAAAAAGACAGCAUUAGGAGAGCUUCUGGAUGGCUCCACAUGUGGAGAUUGCUGGACAGUGGUGUUUCCUGAGAGUCAUGGAUGCUCCGUGUCCCUUUCCCCAUAUCUUGCCCUAUGCAUCUCUUCCUCUGUAU
rnacentral:lncRNA from 1 species